CCUACGGGAGGCUGCAGUGAGGAAUCUUGGUCAAUGGCCGUAAGGCUGAACCAGCCAAGUAGCGUGAGGGAAGACUGCCCUAUGGGUUGUAAACCUCUUUUAUGCGGGGAUAAAGGUGUCCACGUGUGGAUGUUUGCAGGUACCGCAUUAAUAAGGACCGGCUAAUUCCGUGCCAGCCGCCGCGGUAAUACGGAAGGUCCGGGCGUUAUCCGGAUUUAUUGGGUUUAAAGGGAGCGUAGGCCGGUCUUUAAGCGUGCCGUGAAAUUUUGUGGCUCAACCAUGAGAGUGCGGCGCGAACUGGAGACCUUGAGUGCGCGGAAGGCAGGCGGAAUUCGUGGUGUAGCGGUGACAUGCUUAGAUAUCACGAAGAACCCCGAUUGCGAAGGCAGCCUGCCGCAGCGUUACUGACGCUGAAGCUCGAAAGCGCGGGUAUCGAACAGGAUUAGAUACCCCUGUAGUC
rnacentral:rRNA from 1 species